rnacentral:rRNA from 1 species
AGUGAACGCUGGCGGCAGGCCUAAUACAUGCAAGUCGAACGGCAGCACAGCAGCGCUUGCUCUGUGGGUGGCGAGUGGCGGACGGGUGAGGAAUACAUGGGAAUCUGCCCAGUCGUGGGGGAUAACGUAUGGAAACGUACGCUAAUACCGCAUGCGCCCUUUGGGGGAAAGCCGGUGACCUUCGGGCCUGGCGCGAUUGGAUGAGCCCAUGUUCGAUUAGCUAGUUGGCGGGGUAAAGGCCCACCAAGGCGACGAUCGAUAGCUGGUCUGAGAGGAUGAUCAGCCACACUGGGACUGAGACACGGCACAGACUCCUACGGGAGGCAGCAGUAGGGAAUAUUGGACAAUGGGCGCAAGCCUGAUCCAGCCAUGCCGCGUGAGUGAAGAAGGCCCGCGGGUGGUAAAGCUCUUUUGUCCGGAAAGAAAAGCAUUCGGUUAAGACCCGGGUGUUCGGACGGGACCGGAAGAAUAAGCACCGGCUAACUUCGU